rnacentral:misc_RNA from 1 species
ACACCCAUCAAGCCUGGCUUGGUAUUGGGCGUGGGGACUUCCCCGCGCCCCGAUUUCGCCGGCUGGACGACCCCGAUCUCAAGCGUUGUGAUAAAUCUCGCUGGAGGGACGGGCGGCCAUGCCGCUAACCUCGUAAUCAA